UAGGGUGUAGCUCAAUGGUAGAGAACUUGCCUAGCAUACAUGAAGCCUUGGGUUCAAUCCCCAACACCACAA
rfam:Ictidomys tridecemlineatus contig052409, whole genome shotgun sequence.